rnacentral:lncRNA from 1 species
AUUUUUAAACAAUCGAUUUAAAAAGGACAGAUUGGAUACUGGAUAUUGACACAAGUAUGUUUUUGCUUACUUAAUAAACUGUUUGGUGACAGGUUUUAUAUUUCUGAACUAGUCUAGAAAAUAUAGGUCUCUGUCCAGAACAAGGUAUACAGUUUCCGAGUGUGUCUAGAACAGGGUAUACAUUUUCGAAUUUUAAGCAUGUCUAGAUCGAAUAAGUGAUUUUUUUUCAAUUUUUUUUUUCUGGUUAGAUCAGGGUAUGAUUUGGAAAGUGCUGUCGGCACAGUUAUACCCGAAAAGAUAGACAGUUACUUCCCCCUCCCCCAGA